GCCAGGCACGAUGGCACAUGCCUGUAAUCCCAGCAGCUCGGGAGGCUGAAGCAGGAGGAUCGUGAGUUCAAAACCAGCCUCAGCAAUGGCAAGGCACUAAGCAACUCAGUGAGACCCUGUCUCUA
rnacentral:sRNA from 1 species